rnacentral:rRNA from 1 species
CCUGCCUUGUAGAGGGAAUAGCCUUCCGAAAGGAAGAUUAAUACCGCAUAACAUUACAGUUUCGCAUGAAACAGUAAUUAAAGGAGUAAUCCGCUACAAGAUGGGCCCGCGGCGCAUUAGCUAGUUGGUGAGGUAACGGCUCACCAAGGCGACGAUGCGUAGCCGACCUGAGAGGGUGAUCGGCCACAUUGGGACUGAGACACGGCCCAGACUCCUACGGGAGGCAGCAGUGGGGAAUAUUGCACAAUGGGGGAAACCCUGAUGCAGCAACGCCGCGUGAGUGAUGAAGGUUUUCGGAUCGUAAAGCUCUGUCUUCGGGGACGAUAAUGACGGUACCCGAGGAGGAAGCCACGGCUAACUACGUG